rnacentral:rRNA from 1 species
GCCAGACUCCUACGGGAGGCAGCAGUGGGGAAUAUUGCACAAUGGGGGAAACCCUGAUGCAGCGACGCCGCGUGAGUGAAGAAGUAAUUCGUUAUGUAAAGCUCUAUCAGCAGGGAAGAAAAUGACGGUACCUGAGUAAGAAGCCCCGGCUAACUACGUGCCAGCAGCCGCGGUAAUACGUAGGGGGCAAGCGUUAUCCGGAUUUAUUGGGUUUAAAGGGUGCGUAGGCGGUUUUUUAAGUUAGUGGUUAAACGUCGGGGCUUCACCUUGAUUUGCCAUUAAUACUGUAAGACUCGAGUUCAGACGAGGUAGGCGGAAUAAGUUAAGUAGCGGUGAAAUGCUUAGAUAUAACUUAGAACUCCGAUAACGAAGGCAGCUUACCAGACUGCGACUGACGCUGAAGCACGAGAGCGUGGGUAGCGAACCGGAUUAGAUACCCCUGUAGC